CAAGGGUAUAAGAGACUUUUGUCACUUAAUGGAGAUGAUAUUUUUGAAAAUAUUUUUUUAAUGGUGUUAAAGAUGAAAAGUGGUAACAUGAAAGUGGUAAACAUAAAAUUUUCCCGAUAAUCAAUAACAGAUUAAUAAUGUGUCAAAUUUUUUGGAAUGCUAUGAUAAUCUUUAUGGGCUUAGCCUGUAAAUAUUUUUCUCUCUAUAACUUAACGCCUCAAAUUUCUUUUCCUCUUUACUAAUAGUCGUAACUUAAGAAUAAAUCAAAAACGUAUGAAUUAUGAUUCAUAAAUGAAAGAUGUAUUAAUCUUAAACAUACGUAUUUAAUUCGAUCGGUGACAUUCAUGCCGAAGAUGAACGGUUUGCAACUUUGUAUAUAAAAGUGAAUUGAAUACCUCAUGAACUCAGAAGAACAAAAUUACAUUAGGAUCACCUUCCACUCUUCCAUUUCAGUUUCUAGGUCCACAGACCACGACGAGUGAAUGUUGAUGAACUAGGCGCCAUGGAAUUAUCGCUGGAAGGCUAACUCAAUAUUUCUUUCACGGAGAAUGGAUCUCUCUUCGCCGCGUUUAAGAGCAGAAACGUGGCUGAUCGGCUUCUUCCACUAAGAGGAAGCAUGCGUCCAGGAGAUAAGAAGAUCAAAAGGAUGAUGAAGUUGACGCCUUAGAGCUACACCACCAUCGACGAUCCGGAGAAAGUAUCCACGGCCGUCGCUUCUGAAAUUAAUGGCGGAGGAGGAGGCACGAAAUGAAGCUAUCGGCGGUGGUGGUCGGACUGUUCUAGUUGUUAUACUGCUGGAUCUGCUCCAAGUGCUCCCGUAGCUGAGAAUCAACCCUCUCCUCGAAGACAUUAUGGCUAAGGAAAUGCUAGCAUUCCCAAGAUAACUUUUUUUAUCUCCCGGUGGCUUUAUAUAAAUGAUUGCAAACAAGUAAGUAUAAUUUAAUUUAUAAGCUGUAAUAGUUAAUUGGAGAUAGGUUUGUUAAUUCAUUGUCACUGGAUACAUUUGAUAGACAAAAAGAAGUGUCCACCCCCACAGCCCCACAAACUAAAAUGUAAAUUCGUAUAAAUGAAAAAACAACCACGGAAAAUAUGUAUUCAUGGGAAAGUUAUUUAUAUGGUUUACACCUUGCGUGCGUCUAUAUUCAAGGUUUGCUAUUUGAUCAUAGGGUGCUAAACGCAAUAUAACUCAUCCAAAAAUAUGUGUUGGAAUUUUGACAAACAUUAAAUGCAUUCAUGCGCAAUAGCAGAAUAAACACAUACUGCUAAUAAGAUUAUAAAAGGUCCAUCUUCUUAUAGAAAAACGUAUGAUGAUGAGCUUUGACAUGUAGUACGUGCAUUACUAUUAUAAAUAGUGUGGAUUGUGUUUUUGUAUAUUACUUUUGUCAUUUAGACGGAUAAAUUUGAAAUACAUUAUUAAUUCAGUUAAUCAGAGAACCGAGUUUUACAGAGCCAUAAACAUUUUAAAAUUAAUUUCAAUAGUAUUUUUGACAAUUUUGAAAGUCAUACAACUUAUAUAUAUUAUAUCUUUAAAAUUUAUAAAUAAUUAUUCCAUUGGUUCUCAGAACUGGUUCUAAAUUUACUAUUAGAAAUUACGUGAUAAUAACAUUAACCUAAUAUUUUUUAGAGAACAUAUCCUUUUAUUUUUGACAAUGCAAAUAUAUCUUCCUAAUACAAAAGAUAUCAUAAAAAUGGAAAUUGUUGACAAAUUUUAAAUAAAAACAACAUUAAUUUAAAAAUAGAGAUGGUAAGUAUAUGUCAAACUAAGAAUAAGACACAAAGUUCAUAUAGAAAAAAGAACAAAAUUAUUUUUUUUUGGUAAGAAUUUUGAGGCACUCAAAUUAAUGAGACUGAUUUUAGCUCCAACUAUAAGUUGAAAUGAAAAAGUAUUUGAAAAACGUUCUGUCUGUGAAAGUGGGCAAUAGCCUCUAUCACUAUGUAUUCCCUUAUAGAUAAGCUUUGAACUAAGAACUUAUAUUUUCUGUCUAACACAUUAAUAAUAUGCUUGAUUAACUUGAUUGAGAAUAAAUUGUCAAGUUUUUUAAAAGUCGAAUAAUUUAUUUGGAUUUCCAUAGAGAAAAAUACACAAAUAUCUCAUAGAGAAUAUUAUCAUGUUUUGAUAUUUUAUUUUAAAUUUUUUUUGUUGCAUGGAAACAAAAGUAUUUGACUAGGGUUUUUUAAUGUACAUCACUAGAUAUUAGUUACUUAAAUUUUAAAAAUGCAUAUUAGUUAAUUUUAACAUUAAAAACAAAAUUUAAAUUUUACAUUAAUUUAAUAAUAAUUUAUCAAAAUUAAAUAAACAAGAUAAGAGAAUAACUGAAUUUUAACUAAUACUCCCUCCGUUUUUUUGUAUGAUGUUUUAGAAGAUAUUUUUGUUUCAAUUGGUAUGAUGUUUUGAAACUUUCUAUGUAAAGCUAUUAAAGUAAUUGAUUUAAAUAUUAAAAAGAAAUGUAUAGUUUUUGUCGUAUUUGUUCAUAAUAUCAAUGCUUAGUUAUUUUUGACUACUUUUUGUUGUAAUUGAGUGCGUUUUUACAAAAGUAUAUUGUUUCUUAAUUUGUGUGUUUAUACUAAAACACCAUAUAAAAAGAAACAGAGGAAGUACUAUUUUAACCCUUUUUUGGACAACAGUAAUACUAUUUUAACUUAAUUACCAGUUUAUAUUGUUUUUUUGCUAUUGAAAAUAAUUUUUUUUUAAUAAUUUCAAAAUUAUAGUCAUCAAAAAUAAUAAAAAUUACAAUUUUCUAAUAAUUUACAUCAUAAAUAUAUAUAAAAUCAAAUACAAUCUUUUAAAAAGAUCUCCGGUUAAUUAAAAUAUAUGGAAAGAAAUCCGAUCAAAAUUUAAAUAAACAAGAUAAGAGAAUAAUUGAAUUUUAACUAAUAUUAUUUUUAACUUAAUUACCAAUUUAUAUGAUUUUUCUGCUAUUGAAAAGAUUUUUUUUUUAAUAUUUUCAAGAUUGUAGUAACCAAAAAAAAUACAAAAUUACAAUAUCUCUAACAAUUUACAUCAUAAAUAUAUAUAAACUCAAAUACAGUUUUUAUCUUAAGUUAAAUAAAAUAUAUGGAAAAAAAACCCGGAUGUAUCCCGGAAAAGUCUCUAGUUAUAUUAGAAAAGCAUAAUAUGAGAACAUACAAAUGAAAAUAUAAAUAUAAUAGAACAUGUUGAAUGGUAUAAUUUAUAUUAAUGAAAUUAUAAAAUGGUUUAAAUAUAUUAUACUAUGUAUGUGUUUUGAAUAUGUCUAAAAUUAACAAAUAGCAGGGAACGAGGUAAUGCUUACCCCAACGUCAACUCAAACCUUUCAUAAAUUAAACCAAAAACACUAGUCACUAAACUUUAAAAGGUAAUAUAAAUUCUAACUCAAAUAUCAAAAUAUGCCAAUAGUACAUAAUAUGGAGCAUUAUUAAAAUAAAGUUAACGAAAUAACAUACAUUAUUUCAACUGAUCUGACAGGCAUCGAUGAUGUGACGAAGAGAAUCGGAGGCGCCUCGACUGUAACGCCGUCGUGGU